rnacentral:tRNA from 1 species
CGGGGUGUGGCUCAGCUUGGCUAGAGCGCUUGGUUCGGGACCAAGAGGUCGCUGGUUCAAAUCCAGUCACCCCGACCA